GACGAACGCUGGCGGCGUGCCUAAUACAUGCAAGUAGAACGCUGAAGGAGGAGCUUGCUUCUCUGGAUGAGUUGCGAACGGGUGAGUAACGCGUAGGUAACCUGCCUGGUAGCGGGGGAUAACUAUUGGAAACGAUAGCUAAUACCGCAUAAGAGUAGAUGUUGCAUGACAUUUGCUUAAAAGGUGCAAUUGCAUCACUACCAGAUGGACCUGCGUUGUAUUAGCUAGUUGGUGGGGUAACGGCUCACCAAGGCGACGAUACAUAGCCGACCUGAGAGGGGGAUCGGCCACACUGGGACUGGGACACGGCCCAGACUCCUACGGGAGGCAGCAGUAGGGAAUCUUCGGCAAUGGCCGGAAGUCUGACCGAGCAACGCCGCGUGAGUGAAGAAGGUUUUCGGAUCGUAAAGCUCUGUUGUAAGAGAAGAACGAGUGUGAGAGUGGAAAGUUCACACUGUGACGGUAGCUUACCAGAAAGGGACGGCUAACUACGUG
rnacentral:rRNA from 1 species